rnacentral:tRNA from 1 species
GGCUGUAGCUCAGUGGUAGAGUGCUUGCCUAGCACACAUGAGGGCCUGGGUUCAAGCCCCAAUAAUGCCA